AGCGAACGCUGGCGGCAGGCUUAACACAUGCAAGUCGAGCGGGCCCUUCGGGGUCAGCGGCGGACGGGUGAGUAACGCGUGGGAACGUGCCCUCUGGUCUGGAAUAACCCUGGGAAACUAGGGCUAAUACCGGAUACGCCCUUUUGGGGAAAGGCUUGCUGCCGGAGGAUCGGCCCGCGUCUGAUUAGCCAGUUGGUGGGGUAACGGCCUACCAAGGCGACGAUCAGUAGCUGGUCUGAGAGGAGGAUCAGCCACACUGGGACUGAGAAACGGGCCAGACUCCUACGGGAGGGAGCAGUGGGGAAUAUUGGACAAUGGGCGCAAGCCUGAUCCAGCCAUGCCGCGUGAGUGAUGAAGGCCUUAGGGUUGUAAAGCUCUUUUGUCCGGGACGAUAAUGACGGUACCGGAGGAAUAAGCCUCGGCUAACUUCGUGCCAGCCGCCGCCGUAA
rnacentral:rRNA from 1 species